rnacentral:rRNA from 1 species
CAGCCCUUGACAUGUCCGGGACCGGUCGCAGAGACGUGACCUUCUCUUCGGAGCCCGGAACACAGGUGCUGCAUGGCUGUCGUCAGCUCGUGUCGUGAGAUGUUGGGUUAAGUCCCGCAACGAGUGCAACCCCCGUCCUUAGUUGCUACCAUUUAGUUGAGCACUCUAAGGAGACUGCCGGUGAUAAGCCGCGAGGAAGGUGGGGAUGACGUCAAGUCCUCAUGGCCCUUACGGGCUGGGCUACACACGUGCUACAAUGGCGGUGACAGUGGGAUGCGAAGACGCAAGUCCUAGCAAAUCUCAAAAAGCCGUCUCAGUUCGGAUUGGGCUCUGCAACUCGAGCCCAUGAAGCUGGAAUCGCUAGUAAUCGUGGAUCAGCACGCCACGGUGAAUA